rnacentral:rRNA from 1 species
AGCGUACACGGUGGAUGCCCUGGCAGUCAGAGGCGAUGAAGGACGUGCUAAUCUGCGAAAAGCGUCGGUAAGGUGAUAUGAACCGUUAUAGCCGGCGAUGUCCGAAUGGGGAAACCCAGUGCAAUUCGUUGCACUAUCGUUAACUGAAUACAUAGGUUAACGAGGCGAACCGGGGGAACUGAAACAUCUAAGUACCCCGAGGAAAAGAAAUCAACCGAGAUUCCCCCAGUAGCGGCGAGCGAACGGGGAGCAGCCCAGAGUCUGAAUCAGCUUGUGUGUUAGUGGAACGGUCUGGAAAGUCCGACGGUACAGGGUGAUAGUCCCGUACACCAAAAUGCACAGGCUGUGAACUCGAAGAGUAGGGCGGGACACGUGGUAUCCUGUCUGAAUAUGGGGGGACCAUCCUCCAAGGCUAAAUACUCCUGACUGACCGAUAGUGAACCAGUACCGUGAGGGAAAGGCGAAAAGAACCCCGGCGAGGGGAGUGAAAAAGAACCUGAAACCGUGUACGUACAAGCAGUGGGAGCACCUUCGGGUGUGACUGCGUACCUUUUGUAUAAUGGGUCAGCGACUUAUAUUCUGUAGCAAGGUUAACCGUAUAGGGGAGCCGCAGGGAAACCGAGUCUUAACUGGGCGUUAAGUUGCAGGGUAUAGACCCGAAACCCGGUGAUCUAGCCAUGGGCAGGUUGAAGGUUGGGUAACACUAACUGGAGGACCGAACCGACUAAUGUUGAAAAAUUAGCGGAUGACUUGUGGCUGGGGGUGAAAGGCCAAUCAAACCGGGAGAUAGCUGGUUCUCCCCGAAAGCUAUUUAGGUAGCGCCUCGUGAAUUCAUCUUCGGGGGUAGAGCACUGUUUCGGCUAGGGGGUCAUCCCGACUUACCAACCCGAUGCAAACUACGAAUACCGAAGAAUGUUAUCACGGGAGACACACGGCGGGUGCUAACGUCCGUCGUGAAGAGGGAAACAACCCAGACCGCCAGCUAAGGUCCCAAAGUCAUGGUUAAGUGGGAAACGAUGUGGGAAGGCACAGACAGCCAGGAUGUUGGCUUAGAAGCAGCCAUCAUUUAAAGAAAGCGUAAUAGCUCACUGGUCGAGUCGGCCUGCGCGGAAGAUGUAACGGGGCUAAACCAUGCACCGAAGCUGCGGCAGCGACACUAUGUGUUGUUGGGUAGGGGAGCGUUCUGUAAGCCUGCGAAGGUGACCUGUGAGGGUUGCUGGAGGUAUCAGAAGUGCGAAUGCUGACAUAAGUAACGAUAAAGCGGGUGAAAAGCCCGCUCGCCGGAAGACCAAGGGUUCCUGUCCAACGUUAAUCGGGGCAGGGUGAGUCGACCCCUAAGGCGAGGCCGAAAGGCGUAGUCGAUGGGAAACAGGUUAAUAUUCCUGUACUUGGUGUUACUGCGAAGGGGGGACGGAGAAGGCUAUGUUAGCCGGGCGACGGUUGUCCCGGUUUAAGCAUGUAGGCUGGUUAUCCAGGCAAAUCCGGAUAAUCAAGGCUGAGGUGUGAUGACGAGGCACUACGGUGCUGAAGUAACAAAUGCCCUGCUUCCAGGAAAAGCCUCUAAGCAUCAGGUAACAUUAAAUCGUACCCCAAACCGACACAGGUGGUCAGGUAGAGAAUACCAAGGCGCUUGAGAGAACUCGGGUGAAGGAACUAGGCAAAAUGGUGCCGUAACUUCGGGAGAAGGCACGCUGGUGUGUAGGUGAAGCCCCUGCGGGUGGAGCUGAGACCAGUCGAAGAUACCAGCUGGCUGCAACUGUUUAUUAAAAACACAGCACUGUGCAAACACGAAAGUGGACGUAUACGGUGUGACGCCUGCCCGGUGCCGGAAGGUUAAUUGAUGGGGUUAUCCGUAAGGAGAAGCUCUUGAUCGAAGCCCCGGUAAACGGCGGCCGUAACUAUAACGGUCCUAAGGUAGCGAAAUUCCUUGUCGGGUAAGUUCCGACCUGCACGAAUGGCGUAAUGAUGGCCAGGCUGUCUCCACCCGAGACUCAGUGAAAUUGAACUCGCUGUGAAGAUGCAGUGUACCCGCGGCAAGACGGAAAGACCCCGUGAACCUUUACUAUAGCUUGACACUGAACAUUGAGCCUUGAUGUGUAGGAUAGGUGGGAGGCUUUGAAGCGUGGACGCCAGUCUGCGUGGAGCCAACCUUGAAAUACCACCCUUUAAUGUUUGAUGUUCUAACGUUGGCCCCUUACCGGGGUUGCGGACAGUGUCUGGUGGGUAGUUUGACUGGGGCGGUCUCCUCCCAAAGCGUAACGGAGGAGCACGAAGGUUAGCUAAUCCUGGUCGGACAUCAGGAGGUUAGUGCAAUGGCAUAAGCUAGCUUGACUGCGAGCGUGACGGCGCGAGCAGGUGCGAAAGCAGGUCAUAGUGAUCCGGUGGUUCUGAAUGGAAGGGCCAUCGCUCAACGGAUAAAAGGUACUCCGGGGAUAACAGGCUGAUACCGCCCAAGAGUUCAUAUCGACGGCGGUGUUUGGCACCUCGAUGUCGGCUCAUCACAUCCUGGGGCUGAAGUAGGUCCCAAGGGUAUGGCUGUUCGCCAUUUAAAGUGGUACGCGAGCUGGGUUUAGAACGUCGUGAGACAGUUCGGUCCCUAUCUGCCGUGGGCGCUGGAGAAUUGAGGGGGGCUGCUCCUAGUACGAGAGGACCGGAGUGGACGCAUCACUGGUGUUCGGGUUGUCAUGCCAAUGGCACUGCCCGGUAGCUAAAUGCGGAAGAGAUAAGUGCUGAAAGCAUCUAAGCACGAAACUUGCCCCGAGAUGAGUUCU